AUCCCUUGUUUUUAUCCCUUGUUUUUAUCCCUUAUUUUUAUCCCUUAUUUUUAUCCCUUAUUUUUAUCCCUUAUUUUUAUCCCUUAUUUUUAUCCCUUAUUUUAAUCCCUUGAAAUCCUAAGGUUUUAACUCAUAACCUUAACCAAAGUGUUAUAUCCCUUAUCUCUAAUUAUUUAUCCCUAAAACCCUAAAAAUUAUCCCUAUUUAUUAUCCCUAAAUUAUCCCAUAAAUUUUU
rnacentral:lncRNA from 1 species